rnacentral:rRNA from 1 species
UACAGAGGGUGCAAGCGUUAAUCGGAUUUACUGGGCGUAAAGCGCGCGUAGGCGGCUAAUUAAGUCAAAUGUGAAAUCCCCGAGCUUAACUUGGGAAUUGCAUUCGAUACUGGUUAGCUAGAGUGUGGGAGAGGAUGGUAGAAUUCCAGGUGUAGCGGUGAAAAUGCGUAGAGAUCUGGAGGAAUACCGAUGGCGAAGGCAGCCAUCUGGCCUAACACUGACGCUGAGGUGCGAAAGCAUGGGGAGCAAACAGGG